rnacentral:rRNA from 1 species
UGAGGAAUAUUGGUCAAUGGGCGGGAGCCUGAACCAGCCAAGUCGCGUGAGGGAAGACGGUCCUAUGGAUUGUAAACCUCUUUAGGCGGGGAGCAAUGCCGGGCACGCGUGCCCGGAGGGAGAGUACCCGCAGAAUAAGCAUCGGCUAACUCCGUGCC